AAACAUCGCGCUGCCGACGGUUCCUGUCUGCGGACGGGACGAAGAGGGAAUAUCGGAAGUCAUCAUCCAGACGCGGAUGAUGGCGGUGCCGAAGCUGCUCCCGCAACUGUGAACGGCGAGCCAUCGCAACACGCCACUGGGCAGACGCCUGGGAAGGCUGCGUUGGCCGUGACCCGUGAGCCAGGAGACCUGCCGUCGCCUGCUGAUUGAC
rnacentral:ncRNA from 2 species